UCCGACUCUUUAGCACCACGCAGUUUAGAGUCGGUAUUGCAGCUAUUGGAGCCCCCGAGGAUCAAAAAGGUUUUUUUUUAUCAUUAUUUAAAACUUUAUUAACAAAUAUAACAAAUACAAUACAAAAUCGUGUUGCUGUAAACGGCAGCAUGUCAUCAUCUAAUUCCAGCUUUCAAGUCAGCGAACAGAGUCAGAUAUCAUCCGAUGGUUCAUCAGUGGAGA